UCGCCAUUUUUCCCUUUUUGAGUUGACCGAGCCUGCACUCAACCUUUUAAAUGUCACACGCCGGACCGAGAUUGGGCAAGAUUUGGCAUUUAAAAGGAAGUCAGCAUCAAAAAUUUUAUGUGAUACCAAACUCUUUGGCUCUACAUGUGUACAAAGUUGAUCAGGAUAUUUAGGAAAGAUCAUUUCUAGGUUCGCUGAAAUACGGUGAGCUUGGAAAAAUGGUGUUUUUUUUGUUCAAGUAAACAUAAAAGAUCGAAGCAAUAUACGAAAUGAUACGUGGCACUUUAUUUUGGGGCGUCGAGAGUGAAUAUUAAAAAAAAAAAAUUUCUUCAAAACAACAAAAAGCGUAAUUUUUCAUUAUUUUUCUCGGCAGAAGAAGCUCUAAACAUAAUGCAAAAUAAAAAUAAAUAAAAAUCGAUGGUAUCCUUCAUGGCGAAAGAGUGGUUAUCAUGGACAACCGCCAACAAUACAAGCAGUAUUUAGAGCCCGGGUCACAAGAUCCAAUCUCUUCAUCAUCCUGGUAUAGAUGUAAAAAAGUUUUGAAAGAUAAGGUAGCAGGUGACCCUUCACAGUUUACUAUUCGUAAUAUGGAAAAUGAGCAGGCGAUGGAUUAUGAUUUUUCAAAGUCUGAUAAUAUGAUGGAGAAAGGAAUAUCGCAUGAAUAUUCUCAGGAAAAUUUGAGCACUGAAAUGGCUUUUUGAAGCAGUCACAAGGAUCCAAUAAAUGAAGAGCACUGUAUGGUAGGUCAGUUACACCAGCCCCCCUCCUAAUUUUUGAGUUUUCUAUAGUCCACUGAAUUGCGCCCCAAAUGCGCC